AGGGCUAAUGGUGGAUACCUAGGCACGUAGAGGCGAUGAAGGACGUGGCUACCGACGAAACGUUCCGGGGAGCUGGAAGCAAGCGAUGAGCCGGAAAUAUCCGAAUGGGACAACCCUUAAUACGACCUGUUGAAUAUAUAGACAGGAACGAUCCAACCGGGCGAAUUGAAACAUCUUAGUAGCCCGAGGAAGAGAAAACAAAAGUGAUUCCCCUAGUAGCGGUGAGCGGACGGGGAGAAGCCUAAACUAUAUUGCUUGCAAUAUAGGGUUGUGGGACAGCGACAUGGAAUCGGUAGGUUAGGUGAAGCAGCGAAAUACUGCACCAGAGGAGGUGAAAGUCCUGUAGCCGAAAAUUGAACGAUACUAGCUGUAUCCCGAGUAGGUAGGGGCACGUGAAAUCCCUAUUGAAUCAGCGAGGACCAUCUCGUAAGGCUAAAUACUACUACGUGACCGAUAGCGAAAAGUACCGCGAGGGAAAGGUGAAAAGAACCCCGGAAGGGGAGUGAAAUAGAACAUGAAACCAUUAGCCUACAAGCAGUUGAAGCACGAUUAAACGUGUGACAGCGUGCCUGUUGAAGAAUGAGCCGGCGACUUAUAGGUACUGGUAGGUUAAGGCGGGAAUGCCGGAGCCAAAGAGAAAUCGAGUCUGAAUAGGGCGUUAAUCAGUAUUUAUAGACCCGAACCCUGGCGAUCUAACCAUGCCCAGGAUGAAGCUUGGGUAACACCAAGUGGAGGUCCGAACCGACUGAUGUUGAAAAAUCAGCGGAUGAGGUGUGGUUAGCGGUGAAAUGCCAAUCGAGCCAGGAGCUAGCUGGUUCUCCCCGAAAUGUGUUGAGGCGCAGCGGUAAUGAUUAUAUCUGGGGGGUAAAGCACUGUUUCGGUGCGGGCUGCGAGAGCGGUACCAAAUCGAUGCAAACUCAGAAUACCCAGAGAACACAUUGCCAGUGAGACGGUGGGGGAUAAGCUUCAUCGUCAAGAGGGAAACAGCCCAGACCGCCAGCUAAGGUCCCAAAAUUAUUACUAAGUGGCAAAGGAGGUGGGAGUGCAUAGACAACCAGGAGGUUUGCCUAGAAGCAGCCAUCCUUGAAAGAGUGCGUAAUAGCUCACUGGUCAAGCGCUCCUGCGCCGAAAAUGAACGGGACUAAGUAAUAUACCGAAGCUGCGGACUUACAUUGUAAGUGGUAGGGGAGCGUUCUAUAUGGGUAGAAGCAAUAGCGGCGAGCAGUUGUGGACUGUAUAGAAGUGAGAAUGUCGGCUUGAGUAGCGAAAAUAUAUGUGAGAAUCAUAUACCCCGAAACCCUAAGGGUUCCUCCGCCAGGUUCGUCCUCGGAGGGUUAGCCGGGACCUAAGGCGAGGCUGAAAAGCGUAGUCGAUGGACAUAGGGUCAAUAAUCCCUAGCUAUUAAGUGGGAGCAUAGUCAGGACGCAUGAAGGAUAGCUACACCCUGAUUGGAUUGGGAGUUCUCCACGGAGAACGCGUAGUUAAGAAUAGUGCCAAGAAAAGCCGAUUAUGUGUUGAAAGCUUAGUACCCGUACCCGAAACCGACACAGGUAGGGAGGUUGAGUAAACUAAGGGGCGCGAGAUAACUCUCUCUAAGGAACUCGGCAAAAUGACCCCGUAACUUCGGAAGAAGGGGUGCCUGCGAGAGCAGGUCACAGUAAAGAGGCCCAGGCGACUGUUUACCAAAAACACAGGUCUCUGCAAACUCGUAAGAGGACGUAUAGGGGCUGACGCCUGCCCAGUGCCGGAAGGUUAAGGAAGUUGGUCAGUCCUUCGGGAUGAAGCUAACGACUGAAGCCCCGGUGAACGGCGGCCGUAACUAUAACGGUCCUAAGGUAGCGAAAUUCCUUGUCGGGUAAGUUCCGACCCGCACGAAAGGCGUAACGAUCUGGGCACUGUCUCGGAGAGAGGCUCGGCGAAAUAGGAUUGUCUGUGAAGAUACGGACUACCUGCACCCGGACAGAAAGACCCUAUGAAGCUUUACUGUAGUCUGGAAUUGGGUUCGGGCUUGGCUUGCGCAGUAUAGGUGGGAGGCGUUGAAUCAUUCCUUGUGGGGAAUGUGGAGCCAACAGUGAGAUACCACUCUAAGCUAGAAUUCUAACCUACUUCCGUUAGCCGGAAGAGGAACAGUUUCAGAUGGGCAGUUUGACUGGGGCGGUCGCCUCCUAAAAGGUAACGGAGGCGCGCAAAGGUUCUCUCAGCACGCUUGGAAACCGUGCGUCGAGUGUAAAGGCAAUAAGAGAGCUUGACUGCAAGACCUACAAGUCGAGCAGGGUGGAAACACGGCCUUAGUGAUCCGACGGCUCAGAAUGGAAUGGCCGUCGCUCAACGGAUAAAAGUUACUCUAGGGAUAACAGGCUGAUCUCCCCCAAGAGUCCACAUCGACGGGGAGGUUUGGCACCUCGAUGUCGGCUCAUCGCAACCUGGGGCGGAAGUACGUCCCAAGGGUUGGGCUGUUCGCCCAUUAAAGCGGUACGUGAGCUGGGUUCAGAACGUCGUGAGACAGUUCGGUCCAUAUCCGGUGCAGGCGCAAGAACAUUGAGAGGAGUCCUCCUUAGUACGAGAGGACCGGGAGGGACGCACCGCUGGUGUACCAGUUAUCGUGCCAACGGUAAACGCUGGGUAGCCAAGUGCGGAGCGGAUAACCGCUGAAAGCAUCUAAGUGGGAAGCCCACCUCAAGAUGAGUGUUCU
rnacentral:rRNA from 1 species